rnacentral:rRNA from 1 species
GGAAUAUUGGUCAAUGGACGAGAGUCUGAACCAGCCAAGUAGCGUGCAGGAUGACGGCCCUAUGGGUUGUAAACUGCUUUUAUACAGGGAUAAAGUUCACUACGUGUAGUGUUUUGUAGGUACUGUAUGAAUAAGGACCGGCUAAUUCCGUGCCAGCAGCCGCGGUAAUACGGAAGGUCCGGGCGUUAUCCGGAUUUAUUGGGUUUAAAGGGGGCGCAGGCUGAUUGUUAAGCGUGACGUGAAAUGUAGCCGCUCAACGGCUGAACUGCGUCGCGAACUGGCAGUCUUGAGUGAGUACGACGUCAGCGGAAUUCGUGGUGUAGCGGUGAAAUGCUUAGAUAUCACGAAGAACUCCGAUUGCGAAGGCAGCCCACAAGGCCUUUACUGACGCUAAAGCUCGAAGGUGCGGGUAUCGAACA